rnacentral:rRNA from 1 species
CAAUAGCGUAUAUUAAAGUUGUUGCAGUUAAAAAGCUCGUAGUUGGACUUCUGACGUGGGACUGCGCCCCGUUCCUUUUGGGACGUUGGGUGCGGACUUGUGUCUUCCUCUCGUAGUUGGUUGGUGCACUUAACUGGGUGCCUUCUGAAUAUGGGACCUUUACUUUGAAAAAUUAGAGUGUUCAAAGCAGGCAUUGGCUUGAAUACAUUAGCAUGGAAUAAUAAGAUAGGACCUUGGUACUAUUUUGUUGGUUUGCGUACCUAGGUAAUGAUUAAUAGGGACAGUUGGGGGUAUUCGUAUUCAAUUGUCAGAGGUGAAAUUCUUGGAUUUAUGGAAGACGAACUACUGCGAAAGCAUUUACCAAGGAUGUUUUCAUUAAUCAAGAACGAAAGUUAGGGGAUCGAAGAUGAUCAGAUACCAU